rnacentral:rRNA from 1 species
UGGGGAAUAUUGGGCAAUGGGGGGAACCCUGACCCAGCAGCGCCGCGUGAAGGAAGAAGGUUUUCGGAUUGUAAACUUCUGUCCUUGGUGAAGAGGAAGAGACGGUAGCCAAGGAGGAAGCCCCGGCUAACUACGUGCCAGCAGCCGCGGUGAUACGUAGGGUGCGCGCGUUGUCCGGAUUUAUUGGGCGUAAAGAGCUUGUAGGCGGUCGGUCACGUCGAAAGUGCAAACUCAGGGCUUAACCCUGAGCCUGCUUUCGAUACGGGCUGACUAGAGGAAGGUAGGGGAGAAUGGAAUUCCCGGUGGAGCGGUGGAAUGCGCAGAUAUCGGGAGGAACACCAGUGGCGAAGGCGGUUCUCUGGACCUUUCCUGACGCUGAGAAGCGAAAGCGUGGGGAGCAAACAGG